AUGAACGCUGGCGGCGUGCCUAACACAUGCAAGUCGAGCGGCAGCACGAGUAGUUUACUACUUGGUGGCGAGCGGCGGACGGCUGAGUAACGCGUGGGAACGUGCCCCAAAGUGAGGAAUAACUGCCCGAAAGGGUAGCUAAUGCCGCAUAUGAUCUUCGGAUUAAAGUAUUUAUUACGCUUUGGGAGCGGCCCGCGUCCGAUUAGGUAGUUGGUGAGGUAAAGGCUCACCAAGCCCACGAUCGGUAGCUGGUCUGAGAGGAUGACCAGCCGGACUGGAACUGAGACACGGUCCAGACUCCUACGGGAGGCAGCAGUGAGGAAUCUUCCACAGUGGACGAAAGUCUGAUGGAGCAACGCCGCGUGCAGGAUGAAGGCCUUCGGGUCGUAAACUGCUUUUAUGAGUGAAGAAUAUGACGGUAACUCAUGAAUAAGGGUCGGCUAACUACGU
rnacentral:rRNA from 1 species